GUCAGGAUAGCUCAGUUGGUAGAGCAGAGGACUGAAAAUCCU
rnacentral:tRNA from 1 species